rnacentral:rRNA from 1 species
UACGGAGGGUGCAAGCGUUAAUCGGAUUUACUGGGCGUAAAGCGUGCGCAGGCGGCCCGUUAAGACAGGUGUGAAAUCCCUGGGCUCAACCUAGGAAUUGCGCUUGUGACUGGCGGGCUCGAGUACGGUAGAGGGGGGUGGAAUUCCCGGUGUAGCAGUGAAAUGCGUAGAGAUCAGGAGGAACACCGAUGGCGAAGGCAGCCCCCUGGGCCUGUACUGACGCUCAUGCACGAAAGCGUGGGGAGCAAACAGG